AACUCUCUCCACCUAAGCUCAUAAUUCCUCAAUGUCCAAAACAUUUACAUCACCUUCUUCACCUUUUUGCUAUGAAUCCCAAAAUUACAGUGAAGCAACCUAAUUCCUCAUCAAUAAUAUGAAUCAAAGCCAAAUGACAAAGAACCCAAAUUAAAUCCUACUCUCUCAGAAUCAAAGCCCUAGAGGUUAGGGCUUUGAUUCCUCUAACCUUCUUCUACAUUCAGGUAACUCGUAUGCAAUGAAAUAAUGAAGAAAACAUACCUCCGAUGCUGAGAAUUACUUCAACGAGUUGUUGAAUCAGAGAAGAUAAAGCUUACGUUGAGGAAUCACUUAAACCAGGAUUAUUAUAUUAAUGCAAUGGCUUGUUGCUCAUGCUGCUGUGAAACAGUUAUUGUAGGGUUAAGACAUGAUUGGCUGCAGCAGGAGGUGAAUGUUGGCAUGCUCGAUGUGGAUGCUAGGUUUGAUGUUUGAUGGUUGAUGCAUGAAAGUAUUGUGAUGCUCAUGUAUGUGUGACUAUUGUGAGGUGAUGGAUAAUGCGAAGGUGAUCCUAACUUGAAGACCAAGGAAAUUAGGACUUAGGGAUUUUGAAAUGAUGAGCUGACUUUGGUCAACUGGUUAAUCAAAAAGUCAAUAGUUGACCAAAAGUCAACUUAUGCAAAAAUUAUGCAUUUUCUUUAUAAUUUUUCAAUGCAAUGUAUGUUGGACAAUGUAAUCAAUGAAUCUUGCAAAUGAAGUGUACUUUCUUU